rnacentral:lncRNA from 1 species
CAAAGCUGGGGACAGAAGAGCUGGAAGGACAUUCCAGAAGGGAGAACAGACUGGGAAAAGGCCCCGAGAGUGAAAGAGUGUGAUUUGAUCCUAGAAAAACAUCUGCCAUGGCCAUGCUUGAGCUCUGUGCGGAGACGUGGUAGAUGAUGGAACUGGGGAAGGUGACGGGGCUUGAAUGCCAGGCAAAGGUGCUGGGACUCUGUCCUCUAGGACAAGAAGAGAAACUUCAUCAGCGUGUGUCCCGGAGUGAGGACGUUUGGAGCAGGAGCACUCACUGCCACCUGUGAUGGGCAUGAAGCUAGCAUCCAUGACCAGACUUUUGUGCUGUUGCACCAUUACAAAAUGAGCACAGGAGGGUGGACGGGAGCUCUCUGUACCCUCCACUUAAUUUUGCUGUGAACCUAAAAC